rnacentral:rRNA from 1 species
GACGAACGCUGGCGGCGUGCUUAACACAUGCAAGUCGAACGGAAGGGCCCUGCUUUUGUGGGGUGCUCGAGUGGCGAACGGGUGAGUAACACGUGAGUAACCUGCCCUUGACUUUGGGAUAACUUCAGGAAACUGGGGCUAAUACCGGAUAGGAGCUCCUGCUGCAUGGUGGGGGUUGGAAAGUUUCGGCGGUUGGGGAUGGACUCGCGGCUUAUCAGCUUGUUGGUGGGGUAGUGGCUUACCAAGGCUUUGACGGGUAGCCGGCCUGAGAGGGUGACCGGCCACAUUGGGACUGAGAUACGGCACAGACUCCUACGGGAGGCAGCAGUGGGGAAUAUUGCACAAUGGGCGGAAGCCUGAUGCAGCAACGCCGCGUGCGGGAUGACGGCCUUCGGGUUGUAAACCGCUUUCGCCUGUGACGAAGCGUGAGUGACGGUAAUGGGUAAAGAAGCACCGGCUAACUACGUG